rnacentral:rRNA from 1 species
GACGAACGCUGGCGGCGUGCCUAAUACAUGCAAGUAGAACGCACAGUUUAUACCGUAGCUUGCUACACCAUAGACUGUGAGUUGCGAACGGGUGAGUAACGCGUAGGUAACCUGCCUGGUAGCGGGGGAUAACUAUUGGAAACGAUAGCUAAUACCGCAUAAUAUUAAUUAUUGCAUGAUAAUUGAUUGAAAGGUGCAAUUGCACCACUACCAGAUGGACCUGCGUUGUAUUAGCUAGUAGGUGAGGUAACGGCUCACCUAGGCGACGAUACAUAGCCGACCUGAGAGGGUGAUCGGCCACACUGGGACUGAGACACGGCCCCAGACUCCUACGGGAGGCAGCAGUAGGGAAUCUUCGGCAAUGGACGAAAGUCUGACCGAGCAAA